rnacentral:lncRNA from 1 species
AUAGCAACAGCAGCGUAGCUGAACAUCUUACGGAUGGCCCAGGGCUCCAAAGGCUCGUUUCCUAAGUGAGAGAGAGCCUGGCUGAAGCUGUAUUACCAUUCAUUCUCCAGCCUCCGAAGUCUCAAAGCAUCACUUCCACCAUACUCUAACUGUCAAGACAAACACAAAGGCCCAGAAACUGCCAGACUGUCUUCUGAAGUGGCUAUAAUAUUUACACUCCCAUCAGCAGUGUAGAAGGGGUCUCACUAUGUUGUCUGGAGUGCUGUGGUGGAGUGGAGUGGCUAUUCACAGAGCCUGUUCUGCUGGGACACAGAAUCACUUGCUCCAUCUCAUACAUUGAUGAUGAUUAAUUUGUAUGUGUACCUUCCAAAAAAGAUGGUUGUGUUUGAAUGGAGGCCUUCUGGACAGGAAAAUAUACAGUGAACCCACAUGUUGAAGCUUUCUAGUAUAAUAAAAAUUUCAACUGUUCUGUUGAAUCAUCUGCCUGAUUGGAGGCUACAGAAAAGAUGUCAUCUUAGGAGUGCUUGCUCUGAGUGAGGCUCAUCUUCAAAUCUGAAUGACCACAAGGAGAUUUGAUUAUACAUGUGAACACCUCAGAAGGCACAGCCCACCCAGAAGGCAGACAGGUCAGGCUGCUUUUUCUUCAUUGCUUGGAUUCAAUCCUCCGGGCGGCUCAGGCUCAAACAUAACUUAAGCAUGAUUAAACUUUAGAAGAAGCUGCCAGGAAGACUGUGAAAUCUUCAUGCCCAAGGAUCCCUAAAAUUAGGAGCAACAACCACUUGGCUCAGACGGUUUAUGGAGGCAAAGGUUUGGAUGGGAUUAGAGAUUUCUAAAUGUGAGUUCGUGUCCUCUGCCAGACCACCUUACUUCCACCAUUCCUCAGCAAAUCAAGAAAAACAGGAGAAAAGACAUGCCUUUCCAUAAGUUAAAUCUAUUCUGUUUUAAUUCUAUAUUAUAUCUGCUGUACAACUUCUUUUGUUUGUAACACCAUAUUGUUGCUAGUAACUGGAAAUUAAUUUUCACAUGCCUCAGCUUAGAAAAAUAAAAAGCAGCCCUGCAUCAAUCCCAA